GGAGGAAACUCUGACCCAGGGACGCCGCGUGCGGGAUGAAGGCCUUCGGGUUGUAAACCGCUUUCAGCAGGGAAGAAGCGAAAGUGACGGUACCUGCAGAAGAAGCACCGGCUAUAUAUGUGCCAGCAGCCGCGGUAAUACAUAGGGUGCAAGCGUUGUCCGGAAUUAUUGGGCGUAAAGAGCUCGUAGGUGGUUCGUCACGUCGGAUGUGAAAAUCUGGGGCUUAACCCCAGACCUGCAUUCGAUACGGGCGAGCUUGAGUAUGGUAGGGGAGUCUGGAAUUCCUGGUGUAGCGGUGGAAUGCGCAGAUAUCAGGAGGAACACCAAUGGCGAAGGCAGGACUCUGGGCCAUUACUGACACUGAGGAGCGAAAGCGUGGGGAGCGAACAGGAUUAGAUACCCUGGUAGUCCACGCCGUAAACGGUGGGCACUAGUUGUGGGGACCUUCCACGGUCUCUGCGACGCAGCUAACGCAUAAGUG
rnacentral:rRNA from 1 species